CUAAAUAUUAUUUGGGCAAAUUAUAUAAUGCAGGUAUUAAACGGCCAAAUAAAAAAUAAAUGAGAGUUUUUUCAGGUUUUUUCCCCCAAGAUUUUUAUAAUACACCUAAAAAGAACCAGCGAUCUUUGUCUUCGCUAAAACAAACC
rnacentral:sRNA from 1 species